UCACAGGAGUAAUGUAGCCUUGGGCUGCCUUCCGUAUAGCAAGGGCUGGGAUCAUCUCUGCUUCCUUAACUCUUGCUGUUUCUUUGGGAUGAAACCUCAGGAUCUGCACUGUGAGUCCACCAGGGCACAGAGAACUCCUUUUGCAAGGAAUCAUCCUCUGCUUUCUGCUCCCAACAAGAGAAGGAGAUGCCUUGAAAACAUUGGUGCCAGUCAGGGACUGCACGGGGGAUGCACUGGCAGCACGUGUGUGACACUGGAAUAGGCUCUGGCUGGCUGUUCAGCUUCUCCUGUUUUGUGUGCCUGCACAUAAUGCCUCAGGCCGGGAAGAUGGCGCAUUUCAGCCUUUAUUUUCAUAUCUGGGAAGAGCAAUGAGGAUAAAUGUGGGGUUGUCUGGUAGAGAGAUGGGGACCUAAGUUUAAGUCUGUCUUUCUCUGUUGCUUUUAUGCACGGACACCACCGGAAGGCGAG